AGUUACCAAAGUGCAGAAAAGAUGUUUGCAAGAUGACAUCGAGAUUAGUGAAGCGCCAAGUAAGGAAAAGAAAGCAAGGUUUGAAUGGAGUAUGCCUCAAACGAAGGACGUUUGUGCCCAGUUUGCACAAUGGAUAAACAUUAAGAAAGGAAACAAGUUACCCAGUAAACAUCAAGUUGAGGAAUAUUUAAAGGAAAAAGACUGGGGAUGCUCAUACGUACAGAUGCGUACCAAGAUAAUGAACGAGCAAAAUAAGCGUCAGAACCUCCGGGAAAAAAGAUUAAAGGAAAUAACUGAUUGAAUUUAUAAAUUGCGAAAGACAGAUAUGAUUUCUGACUCUUUAUGACUGUGUGGAUUUUGUGACAUACUGCUUGAAAACAAGUUAUGCUCUUAUUCUGAUAAUCUCGUGGUAGUGUUUCAUCUACAUUUUUACAGUGCACGAACUGCAUAUGGUACGUUCUUGUUUACAUGAGUUCUGUUCUGUUCUGAAAACUGUCACAUAGUGUUCAUAAUAUACAGUAUUUAGACGCCAGAAGGAACGUAUUAUGUUAUGACGCCGAUGUCUGUCCGUCCGUCAGCAAUUUUGUGUCCGCUCUGUUACUCUUGAACCCCUUAAAGGAUUUCGAAGAAACCUGACACGAAUGUUCACCAUAUUGAGACGACGUGCAGAGUGCAUGUUUGAUGGCUCACUUCAAGGUCAAGGCAACACUUAGAGGUUAAAGGUCAUAAAACGUUGUUUCAUAUCAGCUCAGUUACUCUUGAACUGUUUGAAGGAUUUUAAAGGACAAAUGUUCACCACAUCGAGACGACGUGCAGAGCGAAUGUUACGAUUGCUUUAAUGUCAUACUUAGGGUUCAAAGAACAUACCUUUGGGCGUAUAUUGCUCCGCUUUGUGGUGCUCUUGUUAGAAUUUAUUCGGCAGACGUGGUAGAGUUCUUGGUAACAAUGAACCGUAUUAUUCUAUAAUGUCAUUAUUGAAAAAUGUUUAUUAAACAAUGACUUAUAAAGUUCUAUAUAAAUGUAUUAUAUUUAUGAAACAGUUUAAUCUAACGUAAAAAUGUAUUUGCAUAGUGAGUUUCUUUCCUUAUGUCUUCCACUGCAGUAAAACAAAGGAAUAAACUCUUCCCUUUUCGUUUCAUUAUAUACCAUAUGGCGUACAUAGAAAAAGCAACUGAUGACGAUGCAGAGUCAUUUUCAAUAUGACUAAAUUUAAGUCUUGAUCAACGUACAAAAAGCGAAAUUUGUAUAUUUGACAAGAAUAAGGUUUCAGUAAAAAAAUCUGAAAGAAAUGUAAAUGACGAGCAUAGAGAUGGUUGUCAGCAUUUGCUAUUUUGGUUGUUGAUUAAAGUAUACGAAUAAUGUAACAAACUUAUUUCUUAAGAACAUGUAUCUAUUAAAUACCUGUAUAAAUUCUGUAAAAGCAUUUUGUAUUUCACAAGCAAAUAUGAAUAGACAGAAAAUAUUCCGUAUUGUGCCUUUCGUAUUAUACGUUGCAGGACUACUUACUUUAUUAAUAUGCAUUUCCUGCGCAAUUCUAUAAAUAACACACAUAAAAUUCGUUCAAUAACAAAACAACGAACAAGAAGGUGGAGGCAUAUAAUAAAAGGGCUAUUAUAACAGCAGCUAGAGUUUGGAUUUUGGAUUUGGCUCUCGUAAAUUUUGCAUGCGCUCCUCGUUAAAUCCGGUCUGAUAAAAAUCCACUGAAGCCGAAUACAAGACCCCAGAUCGAGCUACUUUUAUAGUAACUCUUUUUUGAAUAGGAUCAGUCGUACUAUCAAAACCAAACUGUCUUUAUUUUGACGCUAUUGUAUUGACUUUGUCAUUAUAUGUUGCUGAACUAUAAGGAAUUUGUUACUGUUAAUUUAUUAAAAACAUCUUCGACUUUGUCAAAAUAUUUCGGGCUCCGCAUCCAGAUGCCCAAUUCAGCGGUCAUAGGGAACAUGAACUAGUUCCCUUUUCUGUAUUUAUGAAAGAAAGAGCCUAGAAUUUAUAUGCAGACAUUAUGAAAAAUAUGGAUUUUAUAUCAUACAGAGAAAUAGCAAUAGUCGUGCCUCAUUUCAUUAAAUGUUUGUUGGGAUUCGCAUCUAACAUUUCUGAACGCAAUUUCUGUAAACACACAAAGAUAAGAAGUAUUUAAUUCAAAGUUUGUUGCAUGAGUUAGAAAUUGUUUCGUAGAUGGGUAGGUUCAUGUGUUAUUAGACUAAAUAUUUGUGUAUAAUAUCAGAAUAUUAGAAUAUCUGUUUCGCCAAGCAAUUAUUUGCAAGAAUGUUUUUGUUAAUAUUAUGGCCGACAAGUCAGUUUCUUUCUUUUUUCUUUUUUUUCUUUUCUUUUCUUUUUUUUUUUUUUUUGCUUGUUUCUUAAAUGAUUUUAUACGCCCGCCUCUGACAAUACGGGGCGUAUUAUGUGAAAAACCUUGGCGGUCGGUCGGUCGGCAAUCUGACUAAAGUACUUGAUCUUCUAAUCUCAAAUUAGUCUUCUGUAUAUUUUCGAUUUGUAAUAUUUCUAUUUUCUAUUUUUAUUUUCGCAAAUCUAGUUUGUAUAUUAUUUUUAUCAGACGACUUGUUCGAACGUCUCAGUGUAAGAAAAAUGUGCAAUCAAACCGAGAUUCGAACUAGGGACCCCUCGCUUACAAAGUAGGUGCCUUACCGACUUACCGACUGAGCUAACUGGCCAUCUGACCAUAUCCGUACUAAGAAUUAUAAAUAUCAAGAACCAAGAUUAAAUACAGACUAGCCUAAUGUUUUAGGUAAGCUCUAAUUGGCUAGCGAAAGGGUUGUCAGAACAAGGCUUUAGUCAGAUUGGGCGGUCGGCGUCCAAAAGCAUGCCCGCUCUCUAAAUCGAACGGUUUUCUUCCGAUCUUCACAAAACUUGUGGACAAAAUAUCGAUAUUCAGCCAAAUCGCCUUAGGCACACUUGGAUUAUGGCCCUUGAAUUAGGCCAAAAUCGAUGACGGUCGUAUUUUGUGACAGUCUGCCACUCUUGUUUUAAGACUGAAAAAAAAGAAAUAUUGGAACAUAUUCCUGCAUCUUGAAUAUAUGAUUUAAACUUGCAAAUGUUUAGUGUUUGGUAUGCUAUUACUAAAUGUAUACUUAUGUUGAAACAUUCAGAUUGAAACUGUGCAUUCUUAAAUUGUAUCUUUGUCAUAAUGUGUUUGUACUUAUGUUGAUAUUUAAAGGCAAUGUAGUACAUGCAUUGAAAUGAAUAAAUGAAAUGUAAAACUAACGUAAGAAUGAUAGAGUUCUUGUUAUAAUAGGACAUUGAGAUCUGUUGUUGUAAAUGCAUAAUACAGGUAUAGUACUGUUGUUGAAAAUGCAUAAUACAUAUUUUGUGCGAACUGUAUGAAGGAUGUGCCUCCCAAAUGUGUCUAUGACAUUCAUCUUUGUAUGAGUUUAAUGAUUUAUUGGUAGAAAUUCCGUUCAUUUUUCAUUCUAACACGACCAGCAAAUAACCUACAUAUAUGUAGAACUGAAUUUCUAUCUCGGGAACCACUCGCGUGCAAUGACAUCAUCUGGUCCAGGUGCGUAGCAAGGUCGUAAAAAGUAGUUACCAUAUUUUCUAACACUGUUGAUACUUGUAUGUCGUGUUAAAAUCGAAAUAACAAGUUCCUAAGUGUGAUUUAUCGAAGAAUAACCCAAGUUUUGAGUUCUUAUGCGAAACAAUAUAACGCUCAGGCCUUCGUGAUAAUUAUAUUCUUACGCAUUAGAACUUAAAUACGGGUCAUUCUACGAUAAACCACGUUUGGGAAUUUAUUUUUUCUGAAGUAUAGUGAUAGAACAAAAGCUGAAAUUUAAAUAUUAUUAUGUUAUUAUAUGAACCAAAUAUUGUUAAUUUUGUUUCAGAGAGAUAGUAUGAAGAAACAGUGAAUCGAUCUUUAUCUAAAUUAAUUUUAUAUCAAAUACUUAUCUCAAGAGAUUUAUCAAUACUUUUUCGGGUACAUCUCGGGUAUAUGUUUUGUCAUAUUUUUUUCUGUAUUAUGGCUUGAAAUACUGCUCAAUCUUAGUUCGAUAUAUGAAGCUAAAAAGCAUUAAUAAGCAUGUAAGUUGUUUAAUGAGCGGUGUUAUGUGAUGUGUACUUUUGUGCGUAUAAACUUUAACUUCUUCUGAAUAGGUAGAUUUACAUUUCAAUUUUAAAAAAAGUUAUAUAUUACUAACAUAAAUCGGCUUUACUACGCAUAUGAAACUUUUAUGUAUAUCAUUUUUCUCUAAAAGAGGGGUGAAAUGUCUAAAUCAACGUAAUAAAUUUAAUUAUUUUAUUAUUUCGCUUUCGGACUUAUAUUGUUACUUUGUUCAUUACUGAUGUAAUCAGAGGUGAUUCUUAGUAUUUUACAACUUACUUUUACUUACUUUUUGAUAGAUAACUCCAUGUAUUGUUGUUUUCAUGAGUAACAGAGUUCUCCAAAGUUUAAAUCAUAUAUUUGAAUUUCAGUAGAGUUAAUUGCAAUCAGAUCGCUGUUCACUGGUUUUUGUCUAAAUGGUAAUAUCAUUUCCAUAAUGUGUAUGAUUUAAAAUUUGGAUACAUGUUUAUAGACUCGAAUAUAAAAGUAUAUGGAUGUAUCAUCUAACUUGUUGUAUGCAAGUGUAGUUGGUCAGUCUAUCAUUCAUUUCAUUGGCACCGUAGUAUAUGUUUUAUAAUAUAUGGGAAUGGUCUUAACCUGGAAAGUAUUAAGUUUAUAGUUAAACAAAUAAAUGUAUGCAUUCAUGUAAUCAUUUGGUCCCUUUCUCAACAUCCGCAUAAUGUACUCACUUAGUCACUUACUCAACAUCCGUACACUCAUGUACUCACCCGGUCACUUACUUGCCAUCUGUACACUCAUAUACCCACUCGGUCACUUAACUUCCGUACAUGCUUGUACUCAUUCAGUCAGUUACUCAACAAUCUUACAUUCAUGUACUCAUUUGGUCAGUUAUUCAACACUAUUACAUUUAUGUACUCUCACAACAUACAUACAUGUAUUGAUGCACUUACUCGGUCAGUUACUCAUCAUUUGAACAUACAUGUACUUACUCGAUCAGUUACGAAACAUUCGUACAUUAAUGCACUUAUUCGUUCAGUUACUCAACUUUGUACAUCUAUGCACUCACUCUGUCACGUACUCGACAUCCGUACAUUCAUAAACUCACUCGGUCAUGUUAUCACUCUGUCACUCACUUAACAUCCGUUCCUCAUAGACUCACUCGGUCACAUACUCAACACCCGUACACCCAUACACUCACUCGGUCAGGUACUCAACACCCGUACACUCAUAUUAUAUCGAAAAUAUCACCAUGCACAUUUAAUCAUUUUCUAUAUGAUGUUAAGCCAGACUUUGUAUUUUUAAAUUUUUAAAGCAUCAUAAUUUCGAAUUUCUGUAAAAAAGGAGAUAUCUAUGAGUAAAAUUUUAAGACAAAUGUGAAAUUUGUUUUUUUUUUUUGUUUAUUUCUUAAACUCUUAUUUAUCCAUUUUCCCACGUUCUCCUAUUUCUGUCUGCCACGCCCUUCUUUUCUGGAGCGGGACUCCUUGAAUUAAGGAUGUAACCAAAGAAGCCUCGUAUGGUAAUAGACGAUAAUGAAAACUAAAGGCAUUCAAAGAAUAAUUCAAUAUAAUCAAAUGAAACAUCAUAUGAUAUACUGACAGGGAACCUUGGAGGAAGUGCUGUAUUUAAGAGUCAAGUAAAUAUCAUGAAAUACUUUUCCUUCUGCGGCGGACUGAUUCUCCAAAUGCUUAACAUAAAACACCCCUCGGAUAAGCGGAACUCUAUUAUAUAUAUAUAUUAAAUGAAUUCAUGAUCCCAAAGUUCAGAAAAUACCCAGAGGUAAUAGACAGUGCAACAUCAGUCACGCCCCAAACAUUGGCUUAAGCGGAACUCUAUGUACAUUGAAUAGAAUUCAUGAUCUCGAAGGACGAGAAAAAUAUAAUAACACUGAAUCCAAGUAUGGGGGAAAAUUUUACGGCCGACACACUUAAAGAUUGUUUUUGUGAUAGUUAAUAAAUUCUGUAUAAAGAUCCUUUGGAAACAUAAAAUCUAAACAAGCAAGAUAAUAGCAGACUCGGACUGACUGAGUCUGUUCAUGGAAGGUAAUGAAAAGUGCAACAUUCUCCAAUAUAGGCUGUAUGAAUCUCUAUCACACAGGUAUUGAAUGACCUCCACGAUCCGAAUGGAUCAGAAAACAUAACCUUACAUUUUGAUAAAGAUGUUUUCUUCAUGAUGAUUGAAAGCCAACUUGACAUGACUUAUAGAUAGUGGGCGGUGAACUUGUAAAGCUUUAAAAGCAUCUAAAUCAAUGGAAUUUAUUCAAGAAUAUAAAGUUAAAUCGCUAUUGUAAUUUGUUAAGUCAAAAUCAUUUUAGUUCAAAAUUACAAUUAGUGAAAAUUCUUUGUUUUAUGUAAAGCGGCGAUAAAAAUACUUAACUCUAACACGACCUGAUUUAUUUUCCCGUUGAAUAAAGAAGGCUGGAAACUGUGUCUUAUUAUUCAAGAAUUAUUUUUUUUCUGAUGUGACAAUCAUUACGUAAUAGUAACACGCUACUCGUUUUUUAAUUGAAAAAGAAUAGUACAAUAAAGUGAAUAGUGCAUGCUUAGUAGCUAUGUCGAGAGAACGACUUAGUACCUCGUGGGAACGAGUCAGCUAUGUCGUGGGAACGACUUAUUAUCUGGCAGUGUAUGUUGGCCCAUCUCCGGUAGUGUACGUUGGUCUUUGUCUCUUAAAGCAUCACAACGUACGUUAAGACUGGAUGCAUAUAUAGGUUAUAUCACCCCUCCGCCCCACGGUUAAUGGUUCCAUCAUAUACUAUUCAAAAAAGAAAUACUAGACACCACCCUAACCAUAGAGCCUGUACCAACAAGUAUAAUAAAACAAACAUUGGAAUAUGAAUGUUGAUGUUCUUAAUUCGUAGGUUAAUUCAAUAUUUGCGAUUUACAUUAUCUUUGAAGUUCAAGGUUUCACCAAGAAAUGCACCAAGAUAUCUAAUUGUGCUUUCACGUUUAACAUCAUCACCAGCACCAGCAUUCAAAUUUUAAUGGAUAUUGUGACACAUUUGUUCAGUCAAAGUCUGCUAUCUAACAUAAUUAAUUUAGUUUUGGAAGUGUUCAUUUUCAGAUUGUUUCUAUUCAUCCGGUCAUUAAUUAUAACUGCGCACCUUUCAAGGUCUCUGAUCGCUUGUGAUUCUACGGAAAUAUAUGUAGGACGAAAGCUUUUCUUUGCUAUAUGAUCAUACAUACAUCGUUAAUUAACUCAGAAGGCCUAACUUACCUGCCAUAUCUUGGACCACAGACAAUGUCCACGUUUGUUCCUCGUUCAUCUAUGACGAUCACAUGUAUAAAGAUUCGGAAGAUUCACCUUAUAUCAGAGAAAAACUGUUUUUGCCAUUAUAUGUCAUUUGUUAUUGGAUUUAAAUGAAAUUGUUAGUUAGGCAUGUAGUGAACCAAGGUAUCCGUUCGUGGCCUAAACCUGAAUGUUGUAUAUGGCCAAAGUUUUCAGUAUAGCAUGGAUCCAUUAAACACAAGAGGUUAUUUUAAGAAGAUGAAGAAGUCGUUAAGUUAUUUAUCUAUACUCAUAGGAAGAGGACAGACAUACCGCAACAACGUUUCUAAAUCUUCAGAGAGGGGCGAUUUACCUUGUAUCAAAAUCUUGAGAUAAUCGAAUGAAACGAAGAUAUUCAUAAACACAUUUUAUUCUAGCAUAAAUGUGUUGUUCUUGGCACAGUAUGGAA